CCUACGGGAGGCAGCAGUGGGGGAUAUUGCACAAUGGGGGGAACCCUGAUGCAGCGACGCCGCGUGGGUGAAGAAGCGCCUCGGCGCGUAAAGCCCUGUCAGCAGGGAAGAAAAUGACGGUACCUGAAGAAGAAGCCCCGGCUAACUACGUGCCAGCAGCCGCGGUAAUACGUAGGGGGCAAGCGUUAUCCGGAUUUCCUGGGUGUAAAGGGGGCGCAGACGGCGAUGCAAGCCAGGAGUGAAAGCCGGGGGCCCAACCCCGGGACUGCUCUUGGAACUGCGUGGCUGGAGUGCAGGAGGGGCAGGCGGAAUUCCUGGUGUAGCGGUGAAAUGCGUAGAUAUCAGGAGGAACACCGGUGGCGAAGGCGGCCUGCUGGACUGCAACUGACGUUGAGGCCCGAAAGCGUGGGGAGCAAACAGGAUUAGAUACCCGAGUAGUC
rnacentral:rRNA from 1 species